GACGAACGCUGGCGGCGUGCCUAAUACAUGCAAGUUGAGCGCUGAAGGUUGGUACUUGUACCGACUGGAUGAGCAGCGAACGGGUGAGUAACGCGUGGGGAAUCUGCCUUUGAGCGGGGGACAACAUUUGGAAACGAAUGCUAAUACCGCAUAAAAACUUUAAACACAAGUUUUAAGUUUGAAAGAUGCAAUUGCAUCACUCAAAGAUGAUCCCGCGUUGUAUUAGCUAGUUGGUGAGGUAAAGGCUCACCAAGGCGAUGAUACAUAGCCGACCUGAGAGGGUGAUCGGCCACAGUGGGACGGAGACACGGCCCAAUCGCCUACGGGAGGCAGCAGUAGGGAAGCUUCGGCAAGGGACGAAAGUCUGACCGAGCAACGCCGCGGGAGUGAAGAAGGUUGUCGGAUCGUAAAACUCUGUUGGUAGAGAAGAACGUUGGUGAGAGUGGAAAGCUCAUCAAGUGACGGUAACUACCCAGAAAGGGACGGCUAACUACGUG
rnacentral:rRNA from 1 species